AUUGAACGCUGGCGGCAUGCUUUACACAUGCAAGUCGAACGGCAGAGGGGAGCUUGUUGCUUCUCUGCCGGCGAGAGGCGUACGGGAGAGCUAUAAAUCUGCACGUGUGGAGAGGAUGGCGAUAACCACCGGGAACUGAUGCCACUACCGCCUUGAGGGUGAGGGAGAAAGCUGGUCGGACAGCAAGAGGCCUGAUGAUCCUUGGUCGGCUGAUGUCGGAUUAGCUAGUUGGUGCGGUAAAGGCGCACCAAGGCGAAGAUCCGUAGCGGGUCUGAGAGGAUGAUCAGCCACACUGGAACUGAGACACGGUCCAGACUCCUACGGGAGGCAGCAGUGGGGAAUUUUGGACAAUGGGCGCAAGCCUGAUCCAGCCAUGCCGCGUGUAUGAAGAAGGCCUUAGGGUUGUAAAGUACUUUUGUUAGGGAAGAAAAGCCAGCUGUGAAUAAUGGCCGGUAUUGACGGUACCUAAAGAAUAAGCACCGGCUAACUACGUG
rnacentral:rRNA from 1 species